rnacentral:rRNA from 1 species
UCCAAAUGACUCUCGGCAACGGAUAUCUCGGCUCUUGCAUCGAUGAAGAACGUAGCGAAAUGCGAUACUUGGUGUGAAUUGCAGAAUCCCGUGAACCAUCGAGUCUUUGAACGCAAGUUGCGCCCGAAGCCAUUAGGUUGAGGGCACGCCUGCCUGGGUGUCAAAC